AGGAUGAACGCUGGCGGUCUGCUUAACACAUGCAAGUCGAACGGAGUAGCAAUACUUAGUGGCGGACGGGUGAGUAACGCGUGAGAAUCUACCUUCAGGACGGAGACAACAGUUGGAAACGACUGCUAACCCCCGAUGUACUGAAAAGGCAAAUAUUUAUAGCCUGAAGAAGAGCUCGCGUCCGAUUAGCUAGUUGGAGAGGUAAAAGCUCACCAAGGCGACGAUCGGUAGCUGGUCUGAGAGGACGAUCAGCCACACUGGGACUGAGACACGGCCCAGACUCCUACGGGAGGCAGCAGUGGGAAUUUUCCGCAAUGGGCGAAAGCCUGACGGAGCAAGACCGCGUGGGGGAAGAAGGCUCUUGGGUUGUAAACCCCUUUUCUCUGGGAAGAACGCAAUGACGGUACCAGAGGAAUCAGCAUCGGCUAACUCCGUGCCAGCAGCCGC
rnacentral:rRNA from 1 species